rnacentral:rRNA from 1 species
CUCGUAGGCGGCUCAGCAAGUCGGUCGUGAAAGCCCGAGGCUCAACCUCGGGAUGCCGAUCGAAACUGCUGUGGCUAGGGUCCGGUAGAGGAGAGUGGAAUUCCCGGUGUAGCGGUGAAAUGCGCAGAUAUCGGGAGGAACACCAGUAGCGAAGGCGGCUCUCUGGGCCGGUACCGACGCUGAGGAGCGAAAGCUAGGGGAGCAAACAGGAUUAGAUACCCUGGUAGUCC